rnacentral:rRNA from 1 species
UACGUAGGGUGCAAGCGUUAAUCGGAAUUACUGGGCGUAAAGCGUGCGCAGGCGGUUGUGCAAGACAGAUGUGAAAUCCCCGGGCUCAACCUGGGAACUGCAUUUGUGACUGCAUCGCUGGAGUACGGCAGAGGGGGGAUGGAAUUCCACGUGUAGCAGUGAAAUGCGUAGAGAUCCGGAGGAACACCAGUGGCGAAGGCGACACGCUGGGCCGUACCUGACACUGAUGCGCGACAGCAUGGGGAGCAAACAGG